rnacentral:rRNA from 1 species
UACGGAGGGUGCAAGCGUUAUCCGGAUUCACUGGGUUUAAAGGGUGCGUAGGCGGAUUGGUAAGUCCGUGGUGAAAUCCCCGAGCUUAACUCGGGAACUGCCGUGGAUACUAUCAAUCUUGAAUGCUGUGGAGGUAAGCGGAAUAUGUCAUGUAGCGGUGAAAUGCUUAGAGAUGACAUAGAACACCUAUUGCGAAGGCAGCUUGCUACACAGUAAUUGACGCUGAGGCACGAAAGCGUGGGGAUCAAACAGG